GACUAGAGAACGGCAGAGGGAAACGGAAUUUCUGGUGUAGCGGUAAAAUGCGCAGAGAUCAGAAAGAACACCGAUGGCGAAGGCAGUUUCGUAGACCGCAUCUGACGCUGAGAGGCGAAAUCUAGCGGAGCAAACAGGAUUAGAGACCCUGGUAGUCCUAGCUGUAAACGAUGGAUGCUAGGUGUGGGCCGGAAAGGUCCGUGCUGUAGUUAACGCGAUAAGCAUCCCGCCUGGGAGAGUACGACCGCAAGGCUAAAACUCAAGCGAAUUGACGGGGACCCGCACAUGCAGCGGAGCGUGUGGUUUAAUUAGAUGCUACACGCAGAACCUUACUCUGGGCUUGUCAUGUAGGUGGUAGUGAAGUGAAAUCGGAGCGUCCCUUCGGGGAGCCUACACAGGUGCUGCAUGGCUGUCGUCAGCUCGUGCCGUGAGGUGUCGGGUUAAGUCCCGUAACGAGCGCAACCCUUGUCCUUAGUUACAAGUGUCUAAGGAGACUGCCGGUGACAAACCGGAGGAAGGUGGGGAUGACGUCAAGUCAGCAUGGUCCUUAUGUCCAGGGCGACACACACGCUUCAAUGGUGGGUACAAUGGGCAGCGCAGCCGCGAGGUGAAGCGAAU
rnacentral:rRNA from 1 species